AAGGAUCAUUAUUGAUUUUAUCUAUUUCUGUGGAUUUCUAUUCUAUUACAGCGUCAUUUUAUCUCAAUUAUAACUAUCAACAACGGAUCUCUUGGCUCUCACAUCGAUGAAGAACGCAGCGAACCGCGAUAUUUUUUGUGACUUGCAGAUGUGAAUCAUCAAUCUUUGAACGCACAUUGCGCGGUAUGGCAUUCCGUACCGCACGGAUGGAGGAGCGUGUUCCCUCUGGGAUCGCAUUGCUUUCUUGAAAUGGAUUUUUUUAAACUCUCAAUUAUUACGUCAUUUCACCUCCUUCAUCCGAGAUUACCCGCUGAACUUAAGCAUAUCAAUAAGCGGAGGAAAAGAAACCAACAGGGAUUGCCUCAGUAACGGCGAGUGAAGCGGCAAAAGCUCAAAUUUGAAACCCUCGGGAUUGUAAUUUGAAGAUUUGGCAUUGGAGAAAGCUAACCCAAGUUGCUUGGAAUAGUACGUCAUAGAGGGUGACAACCCCGUCUGGCUAACCGUUCUCCAUGUAUUGCCUUAUCAAAGAGUCGAGUUGUUUGGGAAUGCAGCUCAAAGUGGGUGGUAAACUCCAUCUAAAGCUAAAUACUGGUGAGAGACCGAUAGCGAACAAGUACUGUGAAGGAAAGGUGAAAAGAACUUUGAAAAGAGAGUGAAAUAGUAUGUGAAAUUGUUGAUAGGGAAGGAAAUGAGUGGAGAGUGGCCGAGGUUUCAGCCGCCCCUCGUGGGCGGUGUACUGCCGACGCCGAGUCAUCGAUAGCGAGACGAGGGUUACAAAUGGGAGCGCCUUCGGGCGUUCUCCCCUAACCCUCCACACUGCCACCGACGACAUAAUCCACCCAUUUCACCCGUCUU
rnacentral:sRNA from 1 species